rnacentral:rRNA from 1 species
UACGUAGGUGGCAAACGUUAUCCGGAAUUACUGGGCGUAAAGGGUCUGUAGGCGGACUGGCAGGUCUGGCGUGACAAUUCUCGGCUUAACUGAGAAAGUGCGCUGGAAACCGACAGACUAGAAUCACGUCGAGGUCGGUGGAAUUCCCGGUGUAGUGGUGGAAUGCGUAGAGAUCGGGAGGAACCCCUAAAGCGAAGGCAGCCGGCUAGACGAUGAUUGACGCUGAGGGACGAUAGCGUGGGGAGCAAAC